rnacentral:rRNA from 1 species
UACGGAGGGUGCAAACGUUGCUCGGAAUCAUUGGGCGUAAAGCGCACGUAGGCGGCUUGUUAAGUCAGGGGUGAAAUCCUGGAGCUCAACUCCAGAACUGCCUUUGAUACUGGAAGUCUUGAGUUCGAGAGAGGUGAGUGGAACUGCGAGUGUAGAGGUGAAAUUCGUAGAUAUUCGCAAGAACACCAGUGGCGAAGGCGGCUCACUGGCUCGAUACUGACGCUGAGGUGCGAAAGCGUGGGGAGCAAACAGG